GGGGCGGGGGCCGCGGGGCGCGGGGGGCGCGGGGGGCGCGGGGGCCCGGGCGCGGCGCUCCCGGGAGGGUCCUGGCGGAGGCCGCGGCGGGCGGGCGGGCGGGCGCGGGCUCCGGGAGAGGCGGGCGGGAUCGCCGGGCGAGAGGAGGGGACGCGGCGCAUUCGUGUCGCCGAGCGCGGCAGGCGCGGGCGCGCGGAGCUAAUUGCGACUCUAAUCCUCUGCCCCGCGGCGCAGCCGAGCCCCGAGCCAGGAGUCGCCGCGCGCUCCCGCUCGCGCCCGCCGCGCCGGCAACUGGAGCCGGUCGCUGCCCUCGCGUCCGGGCUCGGCCGCCGCGGGGCGCGCGCCACGGCCCGGGGCGGGGGGCUGGCUCUCUCGCCAGCCAUCCAGGAAGGCCGCUGGAGGGAGAGGAGGAGGAGAGGCGGCGGGAGCGGCGGGAGGGCGGCCGGAGCGCGGCGCGAGGAGGAGGCGGCGGCGGCGGCGGCGGCGGCGGCGAGGAGGGAGGAGGCGAGGGGAGGGCGGGGAGGGGAGGCCCCGGCGCGCCGCGCCGCGAGGGGCCGCGCGAAGCGGGGGCCGGGGCGGGAGGGGUGGGUGGGGGGAGGGUUGGGGGCGAGAGAGAAAGUAACUCCAGGACGAGACCGGAGCGACCCGCGCGGCGAGCACAGGCGGCGAGGCUGCGCCCGAGACCGGCGGCUGCGGGGGGCGGGGGCUGCGCCCGGGCCCGGGCCCGAGCCCGAUCCGCCGCUCCGGCUCCGAGGUAAGCCCCGCGCGGGCCGCCCCCGCCCGGCGCCGCGCACCCCUGUCCCCAAAGUGGCGGCGACGCCGCGAAAGUCGCUCGCCCGGGGUUUGCACCUGGGUGGGGGCGGCCGCUUUGUCCGGGGGCCGGGCGGCGGGGGCCGGCGGCGCGGGGGCACCCGGCACAAAGGCCUGGCGCGGGAGGGGGCUGCCCACGUGGGCUGGCCCGGGCCCCGGCGGACCCUCCCCACGCGGGCGGGCGCCGAGCUCCUGCCGCGCGGGGCGGGGUGUGCGUGUGCGUGUGUGUGUGUGUGUGUGUGUGUGCGCGCGCGGCGGGGGGGGUUGCAGGUCCGGGCGCUCGGGCCUCAGUGCAGAGCCGAGCGCCCUGCAGGGCCAGCGAGUUUCCGGGGUCAGAACCGGGCUCACGCCGCUGGGGCUUCGGGGCGCACAGGGCCCGGCUUGGCGCCCAAAUCGGAAAAAGUCUCUAACGGGACAGACGUGCGUCCUCGGACGCCCACCCGGCGAGUCCGAGCGGGGCGGGAGGGGCCGGGGAGCUGGUGGUGGCCCCGGGCGCGCGGGGGGCGGGGGGCCGCUGGGCCGCGCCGGGGCUGCCCUGCCCGCGGGGACCCCCUGACCCGGGCGCGCGCGCGGGGCGCACACCGGCGGACGCCCCUCUCCCGUGGCCCAAACGCCUUUCCGCCCUCCCGCGCCCCCCACCUCGACUGCAGAAAGAUGAGCUUCAAGUUUUCACUCCGUGUCUCAAAUGUGCACGAAGGAAUUUAA
rnacentral:lncRNA from 1 species